rnacentral:rRNA from 1 species
UACGGGGGGGGCAAGCGUUGUUCGGAAUUACUGGGCGUAAAGGGCGCGUAGGCGGCCUGUUAAGUCGAACGUGAAAUCCCCAGGCUCAACUCGGGAACUGCGUCCGAUACUGGCAGGCUUGAAUCCGGGAGAGGGAUGCGGAAUUCCAGGUGUAGCGGUGAAAUGCGUAGAUAUCUGGAGGAACACCGGUGGCGAAGGCGGCAUCCUGGACCGGCAUUGACGCUGAGGCGCGAAAGCCAGGGGAGCAAACGGG